AUUGAACGCUGGCGGCAGGCUUAACACAUGCAAGUCGAGCGGAGAUGAGGUGCUUGCACCUUAUCUUAGCGGCGGACGGGUGAGUAAUGCUUAGGAAUCUGCCUAUUAGUGGGGGACAACAUUCCGAAAGGAAUGCUAAUACCGCAUACGCCCGACGGGGGAAAGCAGGGGACCUUCGGACCUUGCGCUAAUAGAUGAGCCUAAGUCGGAUUAGCUAGUUGGUGGGGUGAAGGCCUACCAAGGCGACGAUCUGUAGCGGGUCUGAGAGGAUGAUCCGCCACACUGGGACUGAGACACGGCCCAGACUCCUACGGGAGGCAGCAGUGGGGAAUAUUGGACAAUGGGCGGAAGCCUGAUCCAGCCAUGCCGCGUGUGUGAAGAAGGCCUUUUGGUUGUAAAGCACUUUAAGCGAGGAGGAGGCUACCUGGAUUAAUACUCUAGGAUAGUGGACGUUACUCGCAGAAUAAGCACCGGCUAACUCUGUGCCAGCAGCCGCAGUAACAC
rnacentral:rRNA from 1 species